rnacentral:lncRNA from 12 species
GUUCAUCAGGGCAUCCAGGCUGGCGACCGAUCAUGGCUCUCGAGGAUGCUUUUUCUAGUGCUACACCUGAACAGGAUUAAGAUAGCAAGCAGAAGGGGAUCCCUGGAUGGCUCAGCGGUUUAGCGCCUGCCUAAAGGGCCCAGGGCGUGAUCCUCGAGUCCCGGGAUCCGAGCCCUGUGUCGGGCUCCCGGCAUGGAGCCUGCUUCUCCCUCUGCCUCUCCCUCUCUCUGUGUAUCUCAUGAAUAAAUAAAUAAAUAAAUAACCUUAAAAAAAAAAAAAAGGCAAGCAGAAGACUGCUCAGCAGCUUUUGAUACAGAGAUGACGACGCUGGUCCCCGAUGCCGCUCAUUCCAACUGUGUACAUCUGCUUAACCAGCAAGUCCACAGCAAGGGCGCACCAGCGGUCUCGUUCGGAGCAAGCCGGGUGGCCUGGUGUACGCAGCAGAAGCCCGAGGGCAUUGACCUGGCGCGUUUCUCCAGCAACGAACAUCGUCUGCCCCGGGACUGUGUCUCCGGCCAGGCCUGAAGCCAAAGCCCUGGCGAAUCUACCCCCCAGCGCCGAGCCGCGAGCCGCGAGCCACAGCUGGGAGCACACGGCCUGCGCCCACCGCCGCCCUCGGAGCCGCCUUCCUGGCGCCGCCGCCCUGGGCCCUCUGCCCCCCUCGGCGGGAACCGACUCCCAUUUCCUCCUCUCAGAGCGGUCUUCCGUCUACGCGUCUUCUGGGCUCCCUGGGUGGGGUGCUUUUAAAAAAAAAACAAAAAACAUUUUUAUUUAUUUACGCAUGAGAGAGAGGCAGAGACACGGGAGGAGGGAGAAGCAGGCUCCAUGCGGGGAGCCCGACGUGGGACCCGAUCCCGCGACCCCAGGACCACGCCCUGGGCCGAAGGCGGCGCUAAACCGCCGCGCCGCCCGGGGUCCCUUGCGGUGCUUUCAGUGUCGGUUCAGGGGCUCGGGAUCGCGCGGCCGGCCGCUCCCCUCCCGCCCCGCCUCCGCAGCCCCGGCCCCCACCCGCCGGGCCCACGGAUCACGCGGCGAGCCCGGCGCGUCACAAGGGCGCCCUCGCGGCCCCGCCGCCCGCCGCCCGCCGAGGGUCCACCGCGCCGCUCCCUGCGUCCUUCCAGCCGCGUCUUCGGGAGAAGAAGGUGCUCAGAGGGACGAUCGAGGUGCCGGAUGUGAAGAGCGGGAGCGUGGAGACCCGGAGCCCGAGCUACAAAAGAUUGUACCCAAACUAGUUUGAUGCUGCCCUAUCCAGUGUCCCUUCUCUGAUGCUUGGUCUUGAAGGCAGUGAAAGCCCACCUCACCCUGGUGCUAUUUGCUGAGAGGUACAGAAUUUCCAGAGUUGAAGAUGGGGCAUCAGGUGUUCAUUUUUUGUUGAAGUCUAAUCAGAAGAUUAUAUCAAAUGGACUUAAAAAAAUAGAGAAGCCAUGGAACACAGAUAUAUUAAAGUAUUCAAAUCCCACAGAACUGAAGCAGAUCGGUGUUGAUGGGCAGUGACUAUAU